rnacentral:rRNA from 1 species
CGAACGGAGAUUAUACGCAGAGGCGAUUUCGGUCAAAUCAUGUGUAAUCUUUUUGGCGGACGGGUGAGUAACGCGUGGGUAACCUGCCUUACACUGGGGGAUAACACUUAGAAAUAGGUGCUAAUACCGCAUAAGCGCACGAAGCCGCAUGGAUUUGUGUGAAAAACUCCGGUGGUGUAAGAUGGACCCGCGUCUGAUUAGCUUGUUGGCGGGGUAACGGCCCACCAAGGCGACGAUCAGUAGCCGGCCUGAGAGGGUGGACGGCCACAUUGGGACUGAGACACGGCCCAAACUCCUACGGGAGGCAGCAGUGGGGGAUAUUGGACAAUGGGGGGAACCCUGAUCCAGCGACGCCGCGUGAGUGAAGAAGUAUUUCGGUAUGUAAAGCUCUGUCAGCAGGGAAGAAAGAAAUGACGGUACCUGACCAAGAAGCCCCGGCUAACUACGUGCCAGCAGCCGCGGUAAUACGUAGGGGGCAAGCGUUAUCCGGAAUUACUGGGUGUAAAGGGAGCGUAGACGGUUAAGUAAGUCUGGAGUGAAAGGCCGGGGCCCAACCCCGGGACUGCUCUGGAAACUAUUCAACUUGAGUGCAGGAGAGGUAAGCGGAAUUCCUAGUGUAGCGGUGAAAUGCGUAGAUAUUAGGAGGAACACCAGUGGCGAAGGCGGCUUACUGGACUGUAACUGACGUUGAGGC